rnacentral:lncRNA from 1 species
AGGGGCCCGGCGGUGUGGCAGGAACAAAGGCAGCUUCCAACGCUGGUGCAGGAUUCCGAGCCUUAACCCAGAUGCUCAUGGUGCCCUAGUCUUGAGUUCUUCAUUUAGCGCCUGUAUUUGAAAGGGGUUCCUGGUGUACUUGGGAGAAAAGAAGCUUCUUGGUUUGGUAGUACCUACCAGAGACUCCCUGUUUCCUGCUGGUAUCAGGAUUGAAAAAUCCCACUUCUGUCCAUUUUCUCUCAAGAGUUGAGAGAUGUGUGCCAUCGCUCUUUAAAAGAAGGAACUCUCCUUUUGCUGUGGAUUGUAGGGAGCAGAUUUGGUGCUUACUGUGGCUUCAGGACCCACCUUGAAUGACAGAAUGUCAGUAACAAGCAGCCCCAGGAAAUACGGCUGGUGGUGAACGACUGCCUCUUGAUCUUUGCCCAUCGAGCAACACCAUGUGGAUGGUGUCCAUCCAGCUUGACCUGAACUUGAACAGUAAUUGAUGAGUCCUUAAAAUCCACGCCCGGCCCCCAGGAAUGCCUUGGGGCACCCCAUCCCACGUUCUGAUUCUGGAUGGACUUUUAAGUGAACUCUGAUGAUGAGUAGGCUCUUAAAACUCUUUCUCAACGUUCUCUGCUGGGUUUGUGUGUCACCUCCCAUGCCCUCUCUGGUGUGUGGUGAUUCUCAGAUCUAGAGCAAUGCUUCCUGCCUUGUCCCCCCAUGCCUUUGCGUGUGGGAAGCUAAAAUUCACAUGUGCGAUGCCCUCCCAUGUGCCAUUUUUACCUGGUCCCUUCUGCUCACUCUUUAUUCAUAUUUAAAUGCAGGUGAGUUGGAAUGUCAUCUUACAGGCAUAAUCCUGAAUCUGCUCUAUCGCAGACAUUUUAAAACUAAAUUAAAUGUUAGUACUAAGUAGUAGCCAAAUUCUCUGAGUCUGCUUCAUGACAGGCUGUAACACACUGGUAUGGAACGGUAGGUCUAAUCCUGUGACUCCUUUAUCUAUGAUGUUUUAUGUAUUAUGAGAGCUCAGCAGAUGUUGACAGAGGGAAUGAGACAAG